rnacentral:tRNA from 1 species
CAAAUUAGAGCUUGUUAAAGUAUUUCACUACAUUGAAAAGAAAUUAAAAUUUAAUUAAUUUGA